rnacentral:tRNA from 1 species
GCGAUUGUAGCUCAAUUGGAUAGAGCGUUGGCCUCCGAAGCCAAAGGUUGCGGGUUCGACCCCCGCCUUUCGCACCA